rnacentral:misc_RNA from 1 species
AAAAUAACAAAAAGGCUACUCAUUGUUAACAAUGAGCAUUGGCCCCACAUCUUGUGCACUGUACUGUCUUUGGUGGUUGGGUGGAGCUUUGCGGUAUGCAAUGUCUUCAUCUGUCAGCUUGAAUCGUAAGAUUUGGGCCGUGGACAAGCCACCACAUGUUUUCAAACAUUUUCUAUUUUUUCUGUCUGACAUUUUUCUUUGUAUAAAUAUACAAA